AGCCUUGACACCUUCAGAUGCAUACGAAGAAGUGGGCUGUAGUCCACGAAAGCUUAUGCUCUAAUAAAUUUGUUAGUCUCUAAGGUGCCACAAGUCCUCAUUUCUUUGUUGUUCUAUCAUUGUAGUCCCCAUUUCCCUUUGUUUGUCUGUAUAAUCUGUCUGGUUCUGUGAUUGUUUCUGUCUGCUGUAUAAUUAAUUUUGUUGGGUGCAAACCAAUUAAGGUGGUGGGAUAUAAUUGGUUAAAUAACCAUGUUAGAAUGUGUUAGGAUUGGUUAGUUAAAUUUCAGUAAAAUGAUUGGUUACAAGCGAGAGAGAGUCCGGUAGAACCUUAUAGACUAACAGACGUAUUGGAGCAUAAGCUUUCGUGGGUGAAUACCCACUUCAUCAGAUGCAUCUGGCCAUGGAUGAGGUGCCACGGGACUCUUUCUCGCUUUUUACAGAUCCAGACUAACACGGCUACCCCUCUGAUGAUUGGUUAAGGUAUAGCGAAGCAGUUUUACUAGAUAGUCUGCAGUCAAUCAGGAAGAUAAGGGGGGAAUUAGAAUAAUGUUUUCCUAAGGGGGGGGUUGGGAACAGGGACACAGGCAAGGCUCUGUGGUGUCAGAGCUGGGAAGGGGGACACUGAGGAAGGAAAUUGGAAUCAUUGCUUGAUGGAAGUUCACCCCAAUAAACAUUGAAUUGUUUGCACCUUUGGACUUUGGGUAUUGCUGCUCUCUGUUCACGCGAGGAGGACCAGAGAAGUGAGAGUGAAGGAAUAAGCCCUAGAACAAUGGGCUUUUAUUUUAACCAUCUGGAUCCUCUGAUACUGCCCUGCCAAUUUCUCUAUUUGCUGCCAUAAGGUCUUGUUUUUAAUGUCAGAUCUGUCAGUUCCCGUAAAACCUACACUAUUCCACCAUGAUAGGUAGGUGGUGGUUUCCUUGUAAACAUAAUCUGAAUCAGUUCCUAUUAUUAGCUCUGUUUGCUUGUUCUUCAUUCUAGCUAAAACUUCCAAGACUGCUGACACUUCUGCAGAUGGUGUUCCUCCUUUGAUCAAUUUGUACUGGAUGAAGUUAACUAUUUGCAGGUUUCCAGUGAAGCAAAUCCCUGCAAAGCCAGUGACGCAUCUUCCUUUGGUGUAAAAUGAGCUACUGUCCACAAACCAAAUGGUUCUUCCAAUCACCUGUUCAACUGGGGUUGUUUUAAAGACAGGGUGUGCUUUGGAUUCCCGUUGGGGUUCACAAACAUGUUCUGGACCGCUUAUAGUCGAUCCCCAUACAGAUAUUUCAGAUUCUUUCAAUGGGACUAAUUGAACAUUCUCGGACGUGAGAGCAAAGACCCUUUGAAUGGCCUUAUCUACUCUCAUAUGUCCUUUAGCCAGAUUUUCCUGACUGAAUAAUUUUCCCAGCGGAUGGUGACUCUUUACAAUCACAUUGCUUGCUCCAAUAAUUGCCUGAGCUUUUUGUAGUGUCCAGUCAGCAGCGAGAGCAGUUUGCUCACAAAUUCCCAGUUUGCUUUCUGGACCUGUCAAUGCUCUGCUAUAAUAAGCAAUGGGUCUCUCCCCAGCACCAGUAUCCUGUGUAAGCACACUAACAAUACAGACAUUCUUCACACUAGGGGAAUUAGUCGUUAGGGGCGGCCAAAGUAGGUGCCUCCAUUAACCCUUUUUUCAGGCUUUCCCAUGUAUUAGUUGCCUCUUCUGUCCAGGUCCACUGUGGUCUUUUCAGUACCUCAUACAGGGGACCUGUCUGCUCUGCAUACCCAACCAUAAAUUUUCUGCAGAAGUUAGAGCCCCCAAACAGAUUGCAAAGAUUUAGUAUCUACCGGCAUAGGGAGGUUAACAAUACACUUCACCCUGUCCUUAUCCACAGACCUUCCCCCUGUACUGAGUCGAAUUCCAAGAUAUUGGACUUUUCUUUCUGUUUAAUCAGGGAUUUAGAGGGGUUAAGUUUCAAGCCGUGCACUUAGCAGCAAGUCAAUAACUGCCACAUUAACGCUUCAUGUUCCUGUUCUGUUUCACUGACUAUUAAAAUGUCAUCUACAUACUGGACUAUCCUUCCCGUUUGUAACAGUCCCUCCUUCUCUAGCAUAUUUCUCACUACAGUAUGAAAUAUUGUGGGUGUUUCACAGUACCCCAUAGGCAAAACACCCCAGCAGUAUUGCAUACCUUGGAAUACAAAGGAUGUUCUGUAUUGAGACUCUGGGUUUAAAAGUAAACUCCAAAAGCCGUUUCCCACGUCAACUACCGAGAACCACUUCAUGUCAGGGGUUACUACCUCCAACAGGUCUGGGUAAGCAGCCACUACUGGUGCUCCCCGUUUGGCAGUUCUGUUUAACCCCCGACAGUCAAUAGUUAAUCUCCAUGUUCCAGCAGGAUUUUUAACUGGCAAGAGUGGUGCCACGUUAGGCACUGAACACCUUGGAAUUAAUUCUCGUAUUUCCAAUUCUUCUAUAACUCGCCUUAAAGAUUCUUUUGCUCCCUGAGGUAUUGGGUAGUGUUUUAUGUAUGGGGGUGUGUCUCCUUCUAUUGUAACAGAGCUUUGUAUUUUUCCCAUAUCUAGGGAGUCCACUGUCCAGAUGGUUUGAAUCUCAGCCCAUCAGCUUUCCCAGCCUUCCAGCACAGGAGGUGCCUGUUUAGGCUUUAUCGCUUUUACCAUCUGAGUGGAAAGCCCCGUGAGGAUCAGAUUAACGUCAUUUGUUUCUCCCAUUACAGUGAGAGUUGUCUGAUACACAUAUUUGGGACAUCCAGGAUUAUUCCCAAUCGUUUGAUAGUUUCUGCCCCAAUUAGAUUUUCUCUCCCUGCAAUAGCACACUUCUCCUGAAUGGUAUGUACACCAAAAUGGUAUGUUUGCUUAGUUCCUGAUAUGCCCUGUAUUUGUAUGGAUUCCACAACUGGAUAUACAUUAAAUACAUCUUUUAUUAUAGGAAUUCCAGCCCCCAUGUCCAAUAGAAAAGCCCGUCCCUGACUCAGAUAUUUAAGUGGGGGCGUCCCCAGACAUCUAUUGUCAUGGGUUGCUGGAAAAUGCAUUCCGAGUUGCGGGGAAGGCUGUCCUAUGCUACUGAAUUACUAGCAAUCGGAUCAUUCAAUCCAGACACCAAAACAGUCACUUUAGCCAUCUUCCUCACUGCCUUUUCUUCCUCCUUUUGAGACUCCUUGCCAAUCAUACAUGCCUGUAGCUGCGCCCACAGCGUCUCAUUCUCUCCUUUAAGGUCUACGUUCUCCUGUUUCAGAGCUCCAGGAGACACCCAUUCACUCUCUUUAUUUACUCCUCUACCUCUGUUCAUUCCACGAUCUCUCCAACCCUGGCCACUGGGAGAGUAUCCAGGACUCUGUUUUCCACUGUCCUAACUGUGUUCGCAGCUCAUUGACAGGAGUUCCUUCCUGCUGUUUAACCGCAGUCUCCACUUUUUCAAUCCAUUCAUUCCAAGGUACGUCUCUGCCUCCAUUCUCACACCAAGCAUUCAUCCAUUCUAUCACCCCAGAAGGCAGUGCCUUCAAAACAAGUUGUUUUCUGUCAUGUUAGAUCACGAUUCCUCCAGCUGACAGCUCGCUUACUCACCAGAUCAGCGGUCGGGGUCACCAAUGUCGUCAGAUGUCACCAGUGUGGUGCUCUGUCCUGUUCAAUGUUAAUAACAGUUGGCUGCGUGCAUGUGUUCCCACUGCGUGCUUCCACGUCUCUGCGCAGAUCGCUGACAUAGCAGACCCUGAAAGAAACCCCAAUAACCACAGACUCCAAUAAGGAUGGGUCAGCACGUUCCUGUUAUCUGCCAAAAUUCCCUCUGAGUCAAAUCAACUGCCAUCAAAGAAUCAGCCGUGACAUGUCUGGCGACCUCCACCCUGGGAUUAGUUACCAGUUGUAUUUCUCCAGUCAAGAAUCUCAAUACCAGGCUUCAAUGAUCUACAUCCCAACAUCUCUAUGACUCUGCACUGACCUGGAGAGGAAAUGGUUGGGCCAUGAUUCCUGACCUGGCAAUUGUGAGAAUGGGAAGUGUGGUCAUAGGCGGCCAUUUCUCUGGAAAGGCAUGAUGAAGGCUCCUAUCGAUAUAAACUGCACCGACAGCAAGGCGUAGAACAGAGACAUCAGCAGCCAUGCACCCAGACAGCUCCUACCACAAAUGGGAAAGCUCAAAGCAGAUGGAACUGGCAGUGCAGGGAGUGAGCAGCACACCCCGGAGAGCCGGUAAAGGUGAGCUGGUCUGAGGAAGGGUGGUCUUGUGAUUAAGGAGCUGCCCUGGCAGUCAGGAGUCUUGGGUCCAAUUCCUGGCUUUGCUAAUUUGAGGUUGGCCAGUGCCAACAAUCAGAAUAGUUUCUCUCUCUCUCCCAAUCAGUGUAUUGCUUAAAUAUGGAUAUUCCCAUCAUCCACAUAAACUCCUUUCUUAUCAUGGGGCAAACUCAUCCCUGGGUCACUCCAGUGUCUUCAGUGUUGCUAUUUCAGGGAGGGAACUGGUCCUGUGAGCCUGCCCAUGUCUUCCCGCGACAGCCUGAGAGGAUUCUCAUAUUCCCUUUAAGGCAGGGGCUUGUCAAUCUGGGGGUCACACUCACCCUGCCCUCCCCAUAUUGCCAAAAGGGAGAGGGAUUCCCAACAUGGAAAAUGGAACACAGGGAAGACCGAGAAAUACCUCAAGGUAUUUACCCUGUGGUGAAUCCCUCCCCUCCCUUUGUCCAGUCAACUUCUCUUGUGGGGAACCAUGUUCAGUGCCGGGAGUCUCUCCCCAAAGGGAAUGUUGUGGGGGUUGAUCCUGCUGUGACGUUAUUGACAUGAACUGUGACUGUAUAGACCAUUGUUGCAACCAAGGUCAUAUAGUGGCACCAAACCUUGUACAAAGGAGGUUAAGUAAGGUGUCCUUGAAAAGGUUAUGAUUUGCUGGUUAUGAUUAUGCUAUCUGUAUGCACGUAUCGUUUUUCUAUUUGACGUUAUAAGUAUUGGCUCUAUACUGUCUGUAUUUCAAACUUGGACUAUGCUUCUGGGUGACACCCCAGACAGUGGGGCAUCAGCAUUGCCUAGCCUGCUUAAUGGCCCAUGAAGGACCAUCAGCCAUACAACUGACCCAUUGAGAGAAGGCAGAUACACCUUGUAACUCAGCAAGGCAUGCAGGGACAUACCUCGGGACAGAACUCUAAGGCUUUCAAGCCAUGGCUGGGCAGCUUGUAUUUGAGAAAAACUAAGAACAAGUCACAUGGCAGAUGAUAUAAAAGGCCCUGGAAACUCCUCCAUUUUCUCUUCAAUCCUGCUUCUUACCUCUGGAGGAACUUUGUUUCACUGAAGCUCCGAACAUAGGACUGAAUGACCCAUCCCAGCUGUGGAUGUACUCCAGGGAUUUGAUUUGAGCCUCCAGUUUAAUCCAUCACUGCUACAAGCCUGAACCAAUAACGUUGCCAUUACUGUAUAUAAUUGAUUUCAUUUAACCAAGUCUAGCUCCCAUCUAUAUUUUCUUCUUUUUAUGAAUAAACCUUUAGAUUCUAGAUUCUAAAGAAUUGGCAACAGCAUGAUUUGUGGUUAAGAUCUGACCUGUAUACUGACCUAGGUCUGGGGCUUGGUCCUUUGGGAUUGGGAGAACCUUUUUUCUUUUGCUGGGGUAUUGAUUUCGUCCUCAUAAUGAAUGGCACUGGUGCUGAUA